rnacentral:sRNA from 1 species
AGCGCGACGGGAUCGACCGCGCGGGUGCAGAUCAGGUAGUCGCGCAUGGCGAUCGCGUGCCGGUUCUC